rnacentral:tRNA from 1 species
GAGUAGUUUAGUUGGUAAAAUGUUGGUUUCCAAAACCGAAGAGCAAGAGUUCG